UAAAAUGCGAGUAUGUAUCUAUGGUGACAAAAAC
rnacentral:piRNA from 1 species